rnacentral:rRNA from 1 species
GUUUGACCGGUCCGCCGUUUCGGUGUGCACUGGUCGUACCUAUCUUGCUGUCGGGGACGCGCUUCUGGCCUUAAUUGGCUGGGACGCGGAGUCGGCGAUGUUACUUUGAAAAAAUUAGAGUGUUCAAAGCAGGCCUAAGCUCUGAAUACAUUAGCAUGGAAUAACGCUAUAGGACUCUGGUCUUAUUGCGUUGGUCUUCGAGACCGGAGUAAUGAUUAAGAGGGACAGUUGGGGGCAUUCGUAUUUCAUUGUCAGAGGUGAAAUUCUUGGAUUUAUGAAAGACGAACUUCUGCGAAAGCAUUUGCCAAGGAUGUUUUCAUUAAUCAAGAACGAAAGUUGGGGGCUCGAAGACGAUCAGAUACCGUCCUAGUCUCAACCAUAAACGAUGCCGACUAGGGAUUGGCGGAUGUUAAUUCGAUGACUUCGCCAGCACCUUAUGAGAAAUCAAAGUUUUUGGGUUCCGGGGGGAGUAUGGUCGCAAGGCUGAAACUUAAAGGAAUUGACGGAAGGGCACCACCAGGAGUGGAGCCUGCGGCUUAAUUUGACU